rnacentral:rRNA from 1 species
GAUGAACGCUGACAGAAUGCUUAACACAUGCAAGUCCACUUGAACUUCGGUUUGGGUGGCGGACGGGUGAGUAACGCGUAAAGAACUUGCCUCACAGUUAGGGACAACAUUUGGAAACGAAUGCUAAUACCUGAUAUUAUGAUUUUAGGGCAUCCUAGAAUUAUGAAAGAUAUAUGCGCUGUGAGAGAGCUUUGCGUCCCAUUAGCUAGUUGGAGAGGUAACGGCUCACCAAGGCGAUGAUGGGUAGCCGGCCUGAGAGGGUGAACGGCCACAAGGGGACUGAGACACGGCCCUUACUCCUACGGGAGGCAGCAGUGGGGAAUAUUGGACAAUGGACCAAGAGUCUGAUCCAGCAAUUCUGUGUGCACGAUGAAGUUUUUCGGAAUGUAAAGUGCUUUCAGUUGGGAAGAAAAAAAUGACGAUACCAACAGAAGAAGUGACGGCUAAAUACGUG